rnacentral:rRNA from 1 species
UCUUCCGCAAUGGACGAAAGUCUGUCGGAGCAACGCCGCGUGAGUGAUGAAGGUUUUCGGAUCGUAAAACUCUGUUGUUAGGGAAGAACAAGUACUGUUCGAAUAGGGCGGCACCUUGACGGUACCUAACCAGAAAGCCACGGCUAACUACGUGCCAGCAGCCGCGGUAAUACGUAGGUGGCAAGCGUUAUCCGGAAUUAUUGGGCGUAAAGCGCGCGCAGGCGGUUUCUUAAGUCUGAUGUGAAAGCCCCCGGCUCAACCGGGGAGGGUCAUUGGAAACUGGGGAACUUAGGUGCAGAAGAGGAGGGUGGAAUUCCACGUGUAGCGGUGAAAUGCGUAGGGAUGUGGAGGAACACCAGUGGCGAAGGCGACUCUCUGGUCUGUAACUGACGCUGAGGCGCGAAAGCGUGGGGGGCGAACAG